AACGAACGCUGGCGGCGCGCCUAAUACAUGCAAGUCGAGCGAGAAGACGUAGCAAUACGUUUGUAAAGCGGCGAACGGGUGAGGAAUACAUGGGUAACCUACCCUCGAGUGGGGAAUAACUAGCCGAAAGGUUAGCUAAUACCGCGUACGCUCCUUGGACUUCGGUUCAGGGAGGAAAGCGAUACCGUGGGUAUCGCGCUCUUGGAUGGGCUCAUGUCCUAUCAGCUUGUUGGUGAGGUAACGGCUCACCAAGGCUUCGACGGGUAGCUGGUCUGAGAGGACAAUCAGCCACACUGGCACUGCGACACGGGCCAGACUCCUACGGGAGGCAGCAGUAAGGAAUAUUGCGCAAUGGGCGAAAGCCUGACGCAGCGACGCCGCGUGGGGGAGUGAAGGUCUUCGG
rnacentral:rRNA from 1 species